UCCAGACUCCUACGGGAGGCAGCAGUGAGGAAUAUUGGUCAAUGGCCGAGAGGCUGAACCAGCCAAGUCGCGUGAGGGAAGACGGCCCUACGGGUUGUAAACCUCUUUUGUCGGGGAGCAAAGCGAGUCACGUGUGACUCAUUGAGAGUACCCGAAGAAAAAGCAUCGGCUAACUCCGUGCCAGCAGCCGCGGUAAUACGGAGGAUGCGAGCGUUAUCCGGAUUUAUUGGGUUUAAAGGGUGCGCAGGCGGAGGUGCAAGUCAGCGGUCAAAUUGCGGGGCUCAACCCCGUACUGCCGUUGAAACCGGAGCGCUAGAAUUCCGAUGCCGUCGGAGGAAUGUGUGGUGUAGCGGUGAAAUGCAUAGAUAUCACACAGAACACCGAUUGCGAAGGCAGCAUACCGGCGCUCAACUGACGCUCAUGCACGAAAGCGUGGGUAUCGAACAGGAUUAGAUACCCGCGUAC
rnacentral:rRNA from 1 species